rnacentral:rRNA from 1 species
CAGUAGCCGCGGGAAUACGUAGGCAGCAAGCGUUGUUCGGAAUUACUGGGCGUAAAGAGUGUGUAGGCGGUGCUCUAAGUUCGGUGUGAAAUCUCCCGGCUCAACUGGGAGGGUGCGCCGGAAACUGGAGUGCUCGAGCGUGGGAGAGGAAAGCGGAAUUCCUGGUGUAGCGGUGAAAUGCGUAGAUAUCAGGAGGAACGCCUGUGGUGUAGACGGCUUUCUGGACCAUUGCUGACGCUGAGACACGAAAGCGUGGGUAGCAAACAGGAUUAGAUACCCCCGUAGUCCCUGUCUCUUAUAC